rnacentral:rRNA from 1 species
UCCACGCUGUAAACGAUGUCGAUUUGGAGGUUGUGCCCUUGAGGCGUGGCUUCCGGAGCUAACGCGUUAAAUCGACCGCCUGGGGAGUACGGCCGCAAGGUUAAAACUCAAAUGAAUUGACGGGGGCCCGCACAAGCGGUGGAGCAUGUGGUUUAAUUCGAUGCAACGCGAAGAACCUUACCUACUCUUGACAUCCAGAGAACUUUCCAGAGAUGGAUUGGUGCCUUCGGGAACUCUGAGACAGGUGCUGCAUGGCUGUCGUCAGCUCGUGUUGUGAAAUGUUGGGUUAAGUCCCGCAACGAGCGCAACCCUUAUCCUUUGUUGCCAGCGGUUCGGCCGGGAACUCAAAGGAGACUGCCAGUGAUAAACUGGAGGAAGGUGGGGAUGACGUCAAGUCAUCAUGGCCCUUACGAGUAGGGCUACACACGUGCUACAAUGGCGUAUACAAAGAGAAGCGACCUCGCGAGAGCAAGCGGACCUCAUAAAGUACGUCGUAGUCCGGAUUGGAGUCUGCAACUCGACUCCAUGAAGUCGGAAUCGCUAGUAAUCGUAGAUCAGAAUGCUACGGUGAAUACGUUCCCGGGCCUUGUACACACCGCCCGUCACACCAUGGGAGUGGGUUGCAAAAGAAGUAGGUAGCUUAACCUUCGGGAGGGCGCUUACCACUUUGUGAUUCAUGACUGGGGUGAAGUCGUAACAAGGUAACC